rnacentral:rRNA from 1 species
AACGAACGCUGGCGGCAUGCCUAACACAUGCAAGUCGAACGAGACCUUCGGGUCUAGUGGCGCACGGGUGCGUAACGCGUGGGAACCUGCCCUUAGGUUCGGAAUAACUCCCCGAAAGGGGUGCUAAUACCGGAUAAUGUCUUCGGACCAAAGAUUUAUCGCCUUUGGAUGGGCCCGCGUUGGAUUAGCUAGUUGGUAGGGUAAAAGCCUACCACGGCGACGAUCCAUAGCUGGUCUGAGAGGAUGAUCAGCCACACUGGGACUGAGACACGGCCCAGACUCCUACGGGAGGCAGCAGUGGGGAAUAUUGGACAAUGGGCGAAAGCCUGAUCCAGCAAUGCCGCGUGAGUGAUGAAGGCCGUAGGGUUGUAAAGCUCUUUUACCCGGGAUGAUAAUGACAGUACCGGGAGAAUAAGCUCCGGCUAACUCCGUG